UACGUAGGGUGCGAGCGUUGUCCGGAAUUAUUGGGCGUAAAGGGCUCGUAGGCGGUUUGUCGCGUCGGGAGUGAAAACCAGGUGCUUAACACCUGGCUUGCUUUCGAUACGGGCAGACUAGAGGCAUGCAGGGGAGAACGGAAUUCCUGGUGUAGCGGUGAAAUGCGCAGAUAUCAAGAGGAACACCGGUGGCGAAGGCGGUUCUCUGGGCAUGUCCUGACGCUGAGGAGCGAAAGUGUGGGGAGCGAACAGG
rnacentral:rRNA from 1 species